rnacentral:rRNA from 1 species
UGGGGAAUAUUGCGCAAUGGGGGCAACCCUGACGCAGCAACGCCGCGUGCGGGACGACGGCCUUCGGGUUGUAAACCGCUUUCAGCAGGGAAGAUAGUGACGGUACCCUGUGAGGAAGCCCCGGCUAACUACGUGCCAGCAGCCGCGGUAAUACGUAGGGGGCUAGCGUUAUCCGGAUUUACUGGGCGUAAAGGGUGCGUAGGUGGUCUUUCAAGUCGGUGGUUAAAGGCUACGGCUCAACCGUAGUUAGCCUCCGAAACUGGAAGACGUGAGUGCAGGAGAGGAAAGUGGAAUUCCCAGUGUGGCGGUGAAAUGCGUAGAUAUUGGGAGGAACACCAGUAGCGAAGGCGGCUUUCUGGACUGCAACUGACACUGAGGCACGAAAGCGUGGGUAGCAAACAGG